UGGACUCGGAAAAUUUGCUUACUACCAAAUUUAUUUAUCCCAAAAAUAAAAAGAAAAUACUUUUUGAUAUAGAAGCAUCAUCUAUUGACUACAAAUUUCAAGUAUUUCUUGGGAGUAACAAUGUCACACAAGUAGAUAUGAGAAUUAAGAUGGGCGUCUUCUCCUUAUCAGUUCUAAAAUAUUUCGAGUAGACUCCCUACAUGUGAUUACUUAGGUCAGAUGGUAAGUGUUGAAGCUCCUGUUAGUGUUCGCUCUUUAUCAGAGGUAUCAUGAGACAUAGAUACAAUUCUAAACCUAUUGAUAGAACAUAUAAAUUAUUACCCUGUAUUUUGUUUUUAAUAUAUAACCCGUCUCAUUUCAGCCUUCAAGUACCUUUCUUGUCCAUUUGUUUACCUCAAGUCAGUAACUCCAAAAUGGCAAGAGAACUUUUCAUUGUUAAUGAUAUCUUUGAUAGAGCAUUUUCUACUAACAGCUUGCUCAAACAUGUUGGUCACUUUCCAUGUUAAUGCAGUGAGCCUCAAGUCCAUUUCUCGUGAUUAUAGAUGCUAGAAUAACUAUAAUAUUCAGACGUUGAAGAGUCUAAAGACAUCUCGGAAGCAUUUGACAAAGAAGGGUUAUCCUCAUCCUAGAGAGAAAUCAGUAAGCAUGUUAACUUCAAGUCAUAUGUAUAAUAAGUAAUUACCGAGAAAUAAAAAAUGAUUCAGAAACAAUGAAUUACAUCAAGUGACUAAUAUGCUCUGCCUAUUAAAUUUGUAAGAUUUAAGCUCUAUCUGGUACACUAACUUUAAACUUUAAGUUACGGGACUUAGCACACAGGACCUUUGUUUGUUAUAGGGGAACCAUCUCUAUUAGUCAAGCUUGACAGUCACUACCUAACGUUUUUGGUAAAUAAAAAUUCAAUAUGUCCGAGAAUGAAAAUGAGGACAUAUUCAGCAGAAAGUUUGAAAGUUUAUUGAACCAAAAUAAAUGAUAACCCAAUUACUGCUUAAGGAUAGGGCAUACUUCAGGAAAGGUUGAGAGAAAUAGAAAACCUGAACUCCACAUGAAGUCCCAUUUCAUUAAAAUUCAUCACAUAUCAAAAGAUAGAGAUCAUGCCAAAUCAUAUUAACUUGUAUUGAUGAAUUGUUUAAGGUAAAUUUAAUAGUAGGCUAUGAUUUUAAACAUCCAAUGCAGAAAAAUACUUUAUAUAUCUGCAGAUAGACAUGAACAUAAUCUAAAGCAAAUACAUACAUAUUACAUAGAGUACAAAAGACAAUUGAUCUCGUGCUUCAAUCAUCUUAGGAAUAUCCUCAUGCUAAAGGGAAGAAAUUAUCACUAACAUGGUGCCUCCAUUAGUUGGAGGCACAAGUUAUUCCUAAGUUUAAAUAUCGAUUCAAAACUAUAAAAGAUACUUUGAACAAGAAAAAGAAAGAAGCAGUAAACCAGUGAAAGUGAAUUACCAACCUGACCAGCAAGUGAGAAUAGCAAGAUUCCCCUUGACCUCCUUGGGGAGUUGGCAGUUGAAUUCAUCAAAAGAAUAAACUGAAAACUUAAAGGAUGACAACACCUUUAAGCUUCAAUCUUCAUAUCAAUGUUUGAUGAGCUAUGAAUAACUAAGGUUGUCUAAAUCGAAAUAAACUCAACUACAUAGUAAUCGUGAAGAAAUAGAGAUUACCUUGCAAUGUAUAAGCAUAAAUCUCAUAUCAUAUUUAAGCCAACAUUCUCACCCUACCUGCAAUCAAAUCAGCCAAAUAAACCAAAAAAAGGAGUGUGUAAUCCAUAUAGUGACCCUAAAUAUCAACUCAACUAAUUAAAAUAAUAAAAUCAAAUUCGAAGAAGUGAAAUAAUUAGCUUUAAGUUGUAGAGCAUCUGUUAAAAGAUCAAAGAAUGCAUAUUAUCAAGCACUUCUCUACUGAUCUAUAUCGCAAGAUCCCAACAUUUACAAGUUAUG
rnacentral:lncRNA from 1 species